rnacentral:snRNA from 1 species
CUUGCUUCAGCAACAUACACUAAAAUUGGAACAAUAAAGAGCAAUUAGCAUGGCCCCCGUGCAAGGAUGACACACAAACUUGUGAAGCAUUUCAUAUUUUU